AAACCGUUACCAUUACUGUGUUUAGUAAUGGUAAUGGUUCUG
rnacentral:pre_miRNA from 1 species